rnacentral:misc_RNA from 1 species
UCCUGGUUUCCCAGGCAGUCCCGCUAGAGUGCCUCCUUACGGAGUAGCAACUAACGGCAGGAGUUGCGCUCGUUAAAGGACUUAACCCAACAUCUCACGACACGAGCUGACGACAGCCAUGCAGCACCUGUUUACCCGUUCCGACUUUCGCCGGAAAGAUCGUAUUUCUACGACUGUCAGGUAAAUGUCAAGCCUAGGUAAGGUUCCUCGCGUAGUGUCGAAUUAAACCACAUGUUCCACCGCUUGUGCGGACCCCCGUCAAUUCCUUUGAGUUUUAAUCUUGCGACCGUACUCCCCAGGCGGAUCACUUAACGCGUUAGCUACGACACUAAGCAUGCAAGCACGCUUAACGUCUAGUGAUCAUCGUUUACGGCGUGGACUAC